UACAUUACGUAGUCUAAAGCAGAAUAAAAGAUAUGUGGAAGACUACAUAUCUGAGUUCAAGAUCUGGCAAAGAGACACGCAAUGGAAUCAAAUCUCAUUAAUUAAUCAAUUUAGAUUAGGUCUAUCAGACCCCAUAAAAGAUGAAUUAGUUAGAAUUGAUCUCCCAGAUUCUUUAGAGGCAUUAAUGGCCCUUACUAUUAAGAUUGAUAGGAGAUUCAGAGAGAGGAGAUUAGAAAAACAAACACAUGACACUGUAACUAGAUAUCAUCCUUCACGUCCUGUGACAUAUAGCCCAAGGGGUAAUGCAGAGGCCAUGGAUAUUGGGUUCAUAAAAGGACCGCUAACCCCAGAGGAAAAGUCUCAUCGCAAGGAACAUGCUCUCUGCAUGUAUUGUGCCUCCAAGGACCAUUCAGUCACGGACUGCCCAUCUCUGAAGAGACAGAAAUCUGUGGGAAAGACAGCGACUAAACCUUGAAGCCGUUGUGGACUCUGGCGCUUAUGCCAAUUACAUUGAUUCCUCUAUAGUAAAAAAUAAAAAUAUACCGUUUGUUGUGAAAGAAAA